GGGCAGUCGCACUCGGGGAGCGGGUCAGAGGGCGCAAAUCUCGCUAAUUCGUGUGACGCGAAUGAAUAAGAUUCAAACCCAGCGGCUGGAGACAAUGCAGCGGGAGCCAUUGUCUCGGCGGAAGGAGGCUUAGCCGGAGCGGCGCGCACCCAUCCCCUGGUUACAUCUUCCAGCAGUGAAGCCGACGGGUCUGGCCUCCUGUCACAAAGACCUGCUCGCCUCUGCGCCGUGCCUCAGAGCUGGUCUCCGAAUGCCCCGGGCUGGCCGAGCCGAGGCCUCACGGGUUUUAUGGCGCUACUCCUCGUGGUGUUCGUACAGCCCGGAGAGCAGCCUCCCUGCCUGAAGGGGAAAGACGCCUUCCUCCUCGCUCUCCCUUAUGGUCACAGUCUCUCUCUUGUUAAAUCUUCAUCGUUUUAGCUUGGAGACGGUUGCUAAAAUAUAAAAUAAAUGAUUCCGUACAUACGCAUUGGGCAAAGUAUUUUUCUGAAUGCAAAAGUCAGCCUUUAAAGUCAGCCUGUCUUUAACUCGGCCUUAGGUACAACCUAUACAGAGCAAGAAAAGAUGCGUUUUUAUUGUAGUAAAUGGUGAUCCUUAGUGGGCAAAUUACUGGUUAAAAACUUCCCUGAUGAAAAAACUCUUCUGCCUUCUGUAUAUGAGGAGUGUCUCCUUUAAGUAUAUGGAAAAGCUCAAAUGGAGAAAAGCAGUAGAGGAAGGGACCAUCAUGUACCAAAACAGCAAUGUGGAUCCUGCAGAGAGCCUAAUUAAAACAGUGUGAAAAAAGAACGAUACAUGGAAGUGGCAUAAAAUAUUCACAGGGUUCUAGUGAUGAUCCAACCUAGAAAGGUGAGGCUGUGCCCUUUGGAAAUGCAAGCCAGUUUGUCCAGUUGCUAGCGCAGCAGAGGCUGGGGAGAUGCACACAAAGCCUGCUGCAGACUGACACCCCUUUGCAGAAGGAUCAGCAUGCGGACCGUGACAAACUGUGUUUCUGCAUAGGUCUGCAUCAUCCUCAACCAGAGCUCCACUGUUUUGUCUUUCUCCUGACACUGUGUACUUCUGCAAUUGUCCAUUAACCUCCUGUGCUCCUGUCCUCCAAACAAUUUGGAAAUGCACGCAGAUGCAAGCAUGGAAAGAGUUUCUGCAGCAGUACCUAAGUUUUGUAACAAACCCAGAGCAUCAUGAAACCAGGGCAUGGACAUCAAUGGGAUGAAAUAUUCUCCUACAGUCAUGCUAGGUGAAAUGCAGGCGCUUUCAUAAAGCGAACACUCUGAAGUAAAGCAAGCAUUUAUUUUGAAAAUAGGUCUUAAUUCCACGAAAAUUGUACAAAAGUGUCAGAAUGAUGAACAUUAAGUAUACCUCCGUGUUACCUGUUACCAACAAAUUAUUCUCCAUUGGCUCCGACCACUUCUUGAAAUGUUCUGAUUCAGGUUUGAAGUAGUUACAGAAACCAGAUUUGAGGAAUAUUAGAGCAACUUUUAGAAUAAGAAGUGAGCAGUACAAUACAGCGGAGCUGGAAUCUCGAGCCUGAAGAAUCCCAUCUAAAAAGUUACUUCCAAUAGCAAAUGAAAGGCAGAGUGCAAAAAGAAAUUAUCCAUUAAUAAAUCUUGCACACUUACAACACA